GGACGAAAGUCUGACGGAGCAACGCCGCGUGAGUGAAGAAGGUUUUCGGAUCGUAAAACUCUGUUGUCAGAGAAGAACAAGUUGGAGAGUAACUGCUCCAGCCUUGACGGUAUCUGACCAGAAAGCCACGGCUAACUACGUGCCAGCAGCCGCGGUAAUACGUAGGUGGCAAGCGUUGUCCGGAUUUAUUGGGCGUAAAGCGAGCGCAGGCGGUUCCUUAAGUCUGAUGUGAAAGCCCACGGCUCAACCGUGGAAGGUCAUUGGAAACUGGGGAACUUGAGUGCAGAAGAGGAGAGUGGAAUUCCAUGUGUAGCGGUGAAAUGCGUAGAUAUAUGGAGGAACACCAGUGGCGAAGGCGACUCUCUGGUCUGUAACUGACGCUGAGGCUCGAAAGCGUGGGGAGC
rnacentral:rRNA from 1 species